UAUACUUGAUAUGUUACACAACCCACAAGUAAUAAAAAUUCAUAGUGCUUGCUUCUUACACUAUCUUUAAUAUAUUAGUGGAUUGUCCGUAUAGGAUUCAUGUAUAGUGACUCUAAUUAAAAAAAGAAUUAAUAGAACAUAACUAGAACAAAUGUAAAAUUCCAAAAGCCAGGGACAACUAUUCAACAUACAAUUCAGGUUUAACAGCUUUAAGUUGUUUACUAUAAAAUUAAUAAUAUUCUAAGACCUUCAUAUUAGGUAUAGAAAAUCCCAGUUGUUUUUGUUUGUUCUGUAUGUUCGCUUUGGAGUUGCAUUAUUCAGACCCACAUACCUGACCUGACCCUCUUUUUCUCAAAACAACUAAAUGAUUGUAUACAAUUACAAUAAAUUAAAGCAUAAGAUAUAUUAUAAUGAUGAUCAUAAUUAAGUAGAGUAUUCUUUCUUGUUCUAGUUGCUAGCAAGUAACAACCACAACAAUACAAUAAAGUAUUCUUUAAAAAAAAAAAACAAUACAAUAAAGUAUAUAAAUGUACUUGCAAAAAAAGUACGAUAAGGAUUCUAGGGUUAAGAAUCGUAGACUAGGGUUCUAAUCUAGGGUUUUAGACUGAAUAAUAAUGGAUCCUUUUAGAAUGACCCCAAGAGGGUUAUUUAUAGCCUGCUAAUGGGCUUUUUCCUGCGUGACUUAAGCUCUAAGAAAGCAGGGGUUUUAGUCUUUUUAGCUCAUUUAGGCGGUUUAGGGCGACUUCUAGAGGUUUCUAGAAGCCGAGGUAGACGGCGCCCUGAGGAGGACGCGCCUAGGCCUCCAAAGUCCCUUCUAUAGGGCGCCUAAACCCUUCUGGAGGGCUUUAAGCCCUUAGGAAUAUUAUGACGGUCCACAGCCCUCCAAGCACGAGGCUUGGAACAAGGCGUGGUGAUUAAUAAUAUGGAUUUGGCCCUUCUUGAGGGCUUUUAACCCUAAGGAAUAUUAUGACGGUCCACAGCCCCCCAAGCACGAGGCUUGGUACAAGGCGUGGUGCUUUUGAUUCUUUAUGCGGUCGGGACGCUUUAAAAUGUUUGGGCGGGAUGGUUCUGUUUAUGAGAAGACUAUCGUUUGUUCCUUGAUUGGGCGUCCUCUUUGGGCGUCCUUAACUUAUAAGGGUUGAUGAAGUUUAAUCUUCAUGGGCAAUUUGUUCAUACCAUAAACGUUUGUUGGCUUCUUUUUAUGAAUUAUCUUCUUUUCUCCCUUUAUCAAAAUUUGGCUUAAUCUCCUUAAUAAGGAUUCGUUCCUUUUAAAUUUCUGAGCGAAGUUAAGCCUUUAUAGAUAAUUUGCUCAUACAAUAAUCGUUUUGCUAUGAUAAUAAGACUUCGCUUUCAUGAAUUCGCUGAAUUAGAGCCCUUAUAAGGUUUUAAACCUUUCAUAGGUGUUUUGUUGAUGUUAAACUAUCAGUCACCUUUUAAAAAGGUCGGACUUUGUUGGUCGAAUAUUAGUAGCCUUUAAGAAGGUCGUACUAAUUAGUCGCCUUUAAGAAGGUCGUACUAAUUUUUAAAGUCUCAGCAGCCUUUAAGAAGGUCAUACUGGGCGGGAUUUUUAAAGUCUCAGCAGCCUUUAAGAAGGUCAUACUGGUCGGGAUUUUUAGUCGCCUUUAAGAAGGUCAUACUAAUUUUUAAAGUCUCAGCAGCCUUUAAGAAGGUCAUACUGGCCGGGAUUUUUAGUCGCCUUUAAGAAGGUCGUACUAAUUUUUAAAGUCUCAGCAGCCUUUAAGAAGGUCAUACUGGCCGGGAUUUUUAAAGUCUCAGCAGCCUUUAAGAAGGUCAUACUGGCCGGGAUUUUUAGUCGCCUUUAAGAAGGUCGUACUAAUUUUUAAAGUCUCAGCAGCCUUUAAGAAGGUCAUACUGGCCGGGAUUUUUAGUCGCCUUUAAGAAGGUCGUACUAAUUUUUAAAGUCUCAGCAGCCUUUAAGAAGGUCAUACUGGCCGGGAUUUUUAAAGUCUCAGCAGCCUUUAAGAAGGUCAUACUGGCCGGGAUUUUUAAACGCCUUUAAGAAGGUCGUACUUAUCGAUUCUUCUUCUUAUAAAAAAAAAAAAAAAAAAAAAAAAAAAAAAAAAAACCCUGCAAAACAAAUCUCAAAGGUCGAAAAGAUUAUUCUAGAAUAUAACUCCGCGUUUCAUCUUUAUAUUUUCCUUGGCGGGACUAUUGCUUCCAUGCUCGUUUAAUCAUGGCGUGUUGAUUGGCGAGUUCUAUCCUUUCAUUCAUCUAGCUCCUGGGCGGACUUAUUAGUAUCCCAACCUUGAUUUAUCUGAAAUAUAACAAUACCUCCGAACUUCCAAAGUAAAUAAAUAAAAGAAAUUGAAAGUUUUAAUCAUAUUUAAUUGUCUAUUUUUUAUACAAAACUGAUUAUCCACAUAUUAUAUUUAUAUGAUACCACUCGAAUUGCAAAACAGGAAGUUUGAUUAAUAAUAUGGAUAGCUAGCUAUGAUACUAGCAUAUGCUCCUAUGGGAAGAAAUAACACAUCAGGAUAUUCUUGUUGGUAGCUAAAUAAAUUCUUAACUAAUAAAGGGAAUUACUAUAUGCUUGUCGAGAAGUCGAGUUUCAGUAGGUUAAUUCUACCUUAUAUACUUGACUAUUAGUUAGUAGGAUGGUAAAACAAACAUAUUUCCUAACUAACAAGAUACUAAUAAAAGUAGAGAUCAAGCUUUAUCAAUACUAGAACUUGGUACAUUAGCAUGUGUUGAAUGAAUCUGACAUGGACUUUCUAGCAAUUUGGAUUUACUGAUCUUGAUCUGCCUUCCUAUAAUUUCUCUUAGUACAUCAUUUAAAGAUAAUCAUAGUAUACUCACAAAAAAGGACAAUAUUAUACUUUCAAUUACACCAUACUAUGUUUCUAGGCAAACUCAACACAAUCUUAAAAGUUCAUGACUUUUGUGCAGUUUUAAAAUAUGUACCUGAUUCCUUAUGGAUGAUUUCAAAGGUAUGAAAGUUUAAAACUUACGGUGAAGUCGAUCAUACCAUGCUCUUUUAGUUUCUGUAGCAGUCAAAAUGAGUUGAUACGUCAACGCCUUAAAAUCAGUAUAUCGAUGCUAUUAGUCGCCCUAGCUUGUCAUCUUGAUUCCUCCUCCAAACUUUUUCGCCCUUUAACUUGUUUAUCAAUAGCAUCCUAUACCCAUGCUUUCUUUAUUCUAACCUUUCUUCGUGGUACAACCUAUAUUGGUCUAUUUUACAUAGCUAUUUCCUAACGAACCAAGAGGGGUAUCUGUUCGCCUAAUUGAAAACAUAUCUCGAUCGCAGCUUCCACAACAAAGGAAUUAAUAAACAAUAAACAAAUUAAUUCACCAAUUAAAUAUAUAUUAUGAUCCUUAUGCAUAUAAUCUGGUAUAACGCUGCUUUAUGGUUUGUUGAUGUCCUUUCAAGACGGCGUUGGUCGGGUUCAUGGCGGUGUGAUUCUUAGCGGCUUCGAUGAUGAGACGGAUGCCCGGAGGUCAGUGACGACGGCAUCAAACAAGGCUGGAUUGAAGUGUGGCCCGGGUCAGUUUUACCGGUUCCACGCUCACUGCAUUUUUGUCUUUUCCAGGGGCGUUUUGUGCAAUAUAUUGAAACCGGCCAAAUCAAAUACACAUCACAAAUAGUUAAAUAAAUAAAUGAGAAUCUCCAGUAUCAUGUUGAUAUUUCAAGUUCCAUAAAUUAUGAUGAUUUCUAGAAGAAAACUAACAACGUGUGUAAAUAGUAAAUGAAUAUUGAGAAGCUUACUAUAGGCUCACGAUAGGCAAGCUUUAUUAUAACCAAGAAACAUCAACAAUAUUAAAAACUAUACAUUCAGGAUUGCGCAUAAUAUGAUGAAUAAAUUACUAACAAGGUGAAUAUAACGUUAUAAAUCUUUCCAAUACUAUUAGUUAAAUUAAUGAAUAUAAAGUAGAUUAAAAACAUGUGGUGGAAAUUUCAUUAAUGAAUAGCAGAAAGGUUUAAACAUAUGGUAGCGCAAUGGAACAGAAGAUAGUAACACAAAUAGCAAAAAUUAAAGAUCUCAUGAGUGGUUUUAAUUUGGAAACUAAAUCAAAUGCACAUAUAGGUCAAUAUUUGAUAAUGGAACUUACAACGGGACAAAACAAUUCUGCCAUCAAAUACGACUUUAAAAAAUAUGUCCAUGAGAAAGAUAAAUCAAUUUUUCAAGGGAUAAAGCCAAAAUAUUAACUCAAAUCAAUAUAGUCUGCUCGAUGACGACGCCACGUUGCAAAACUUAGCUUUAUAUUGAAAAAGAAAAAAGAAACUUAGACAUAGCAUGUGUAAUAUGCAGAAGCAUAACUAAACUUAAAUAGAUACCUGAUAUCGUAGCCAUUUUUUGUAAAUAAAAACAACCAUAUACUUGAUAUCGCGAGUAAUAAAAAGAUAUAACCUGGGACCUGCUUUGAUCGAAGCUUUUGUUUGAGCUUUUGUUGCGGUUUCCGCAGAACAAGCAACAAAACAAAUAGGACCAAACGAUUGUACAAGAGUCUUACGAUGUGAAACUUGGCGAGAUGGAUUGAUGACCCACAGGCUGAUGAGCUCUUUCAUUGCCUCUACGACGUCGUCAUCGAAUCGGUCAGACAUCACGGUGAUGAAAGGGCAAGGGUGUUUCUAAAUCACGGUUAGGGUUGCGAUUUAGAGGUUGUGAUUUUUCUUUCUAAAUUGCGAUUAGGUUUGCGAUUUAGAGGUGAGGGGUGGCCUAGGUUAGUUUUACCGAGUUCCCACAGACGGCGCCAACUGUACUUGCAAAAAAAAGUACGGUAAGGAUUCUAGGGUUAAGAAUCGUAGACUAGGGUUCUAAUCUAGAGUUUUAGACUGAAUAAUAAUGGAUCCUUUUAGAAUGACCCCAAGAGGGUUAUUUAUAGCCUGCUAAUGGGCAUUUUCCUGCGUGACUUAAGCUCUAAGAAAGCAGGGUUUUUAGUCUUUUUAGCUCAUUUAGGCGGUUUAGGGCGACUUCUAGAGGUUUCUAGAAGCCGAGGCAGACGGCGCCCUGAGGAGGACGCGCCUAGGCCUCCAAAGUCCCUUCUAUAGGGCGCCUAAACCCUUCUGGAGGGCUUUAAGCCCUUAGGAAUAUUAUGACGGUCCACAGCCCUCCAAGCACGAGGCUUGGAACAAGGCGUGGUGAUUAAUAAUGUGGAUUUGGCCCUUCUGGAGGGCUUUUAACCCUAAGGAAUAUUAUGACGGUCCAAUAAAGUACAAAAUAAAUUUUUAACAUAUUUUGGAUUGAGUCUAGCGAAGAGGUUAAACUUCACAAUGUGACGAAUCAAUGUUCAAAUUCUGUUUAAAACAUGUAUUAUAUUUAAUGUCUAACACACUUUGAU
rnacentral:lncRNA from 1 species